ACUGCGCCUCGUUCGGUGAGGCUCUUGCGUGAACACAGGCCACUGAUCUGACGACAUCGAGAGAUGCCCAAGGUUAAGACAGGCGCCCUCGGCUUAAGGGGGUGCCCAAAGUGGCUGCACCACGACUACGUCACGCAAUGCCGAAGCUCUGACAUGGAGGCGCAUU
rnacentral:sRNA from 1 species